CAAUUGGCAAGUAGGUGGGGAUGAGACCGCGCUGAGACAGGCGCAUCUCAACUGUCGCAUCACCUUUUCAAGGAAAUGUUGUAGGCUAACCAGGGGUUGUCAUGUAUGUCAAUCUAUUUUAUGAAGAGAUAAGGAAGUGACUUUCAGGCUUUUCAUCAUAGAAUGUCCUUGGCGCAGUCAUGGAGUAAACGUGAGAAGAAACUGAGUGGACUAUCACCUGUGGAUUCAUUUGAACGGCAGCACUGUUUUCAGCAUAAACCGAAGUCAGACGGAAGUUUUCUAUUGACAGUUUGAGAGAUGAGAUGAGGCUCACCCAUUUAAAACUUGGAUGUAUUCUGGCUUGUGCUUUUCUCUCUCUAACCUGGUUUACCGCUCAUAAUGGAAAUGAUGGGGAUGAACCCCCCAACCACCCAGUUAUGAUCCAGCUGUAUGAACGUCUGCUGGCUGCAGAGUUCAAGGGGGAGCUGCUGUCCAGGGAGCUCAGCAGUGUUCUGACCAGCCUGAGGAACCUCACCAUACCUAACAACAGCUCCUCCACUAAUAUCCCAGGUGAGGGGACAGAGUUAUCAUGUUAUCAUCAGUGUACAGUCGCAUCACAGGUGACAGUACAGCCAUCCCACAGGUUGAAUCAACAUUGUUUCCACGUCAUUUUAAUUAAAUUAUGUUGAACCAACAGAAUAUACAGUACAAGGAAAAAGUUUGGACACACCUACUCAUUCCAGGGUUUUUCAUUAUUUUUACUAUUUUCUACAUUGUAGAAAAAUUGUGAAGACAUCAAAACUAUGAAAUAACACAUUAAAUCAUGUAGUAACCAAAAGAGUGUUAAACAAAUCAAUAUAUAUAUAUAUAUAUAUAUUUUUGAGAUUCUUCUUGCCACUUUCUCAACCAGCUUUUUUAUGUAAUUAUUUUAUUUUUUAUUUAACCUCAUAUCAAAUGUAUUUAUAUAGCCCUUCGUACAUCAGCUGAUAUCUCAAAGUGCUGUACAGAAACCCAGCCUAAAACCCCAAACAGCAAGCAAUGCAGGUGUAGAAGCACGGUGGCUAGGAAAAACUCCCUAGAAAGGCCAAAACCUAGGAAGAAACCUAGAGAGGAACCAGGCUAUGUGGGGUGGCCAGUCCUCUUCUGGCUGUGCCGGG
rnacentral:lncRNA from 1 species